rnacentral:rRNA from 1 species
AGCAGUCGCCGCGGUAAUACGAAGGGUGCAAGCGUUAAUCGGAAUUACUGGGCGUAAAGCGUGCGUAGGCGGUUUGUUAAGUCUGCUGUGAAAUCCCCGGGCUCAACCUGGGAAUGGCAGUGGAUACUGGCAAGCUAGAGUGUGUCAGAGGAUGGUGGAAUUCCCGGUGUAGCGGUGAAAUGCGUAGAGAUCGGGAGGAACAUCAGUGGCGAAGGCGGCCAUCUGGGACAACACUGACGCUGAGGCACGAAAGCGUGGGGAGCAAACAGGAUUAGAUACCCGAGUAGUCCCUGUCUCUUAUAA